rnacentral:rRNA from 1 species
GACGUAGGGGGCAAGCGUUGUCCGGAUUUAUUGGGCGUAAAGGGCUCGUAGGCGGCUGGAUAAGUGGGAUGUUAAAUCCCCCGGCUCAACCGGGGACCUGCAUCUCAUACUGUUCAGCUCGAGCACAUCAGAGGAGACUGGAAUUCCCGGUGUAGCGGUGAAAUGCGUAGAUAUCGGAAGGAACACCAGUGGCGAAAGCGGCUUCCUGGUCCAGCACCGACGUUCAGGCACGAAAGCGUGGGGAGCAAACAGG